rnacentral:rRNA from 1 species
AGAGUUUGAUCCUGGCUCAGAUUGAACGCUGGCGGCAUGCCUUACACAUGCAAGUCGAACGGCAGCACGGGAGCAAUCCUGGUGGCGAGUGGCGAACGGGUGAGUAAUACAUCGGAACGUGCCCAAUCGUGGGGGAUAACGCAGCGAAAGCUGUGCUAAUACCGCAUACGAUCUACGGAUGAAAGCAGGGGACCGCAAGGCCUUGCGCGAAUGGAGCGGCCGAUGGCAGAUUAGGUAGUUGGUGGGGUAAAGGCUCACCAAGCCUUCGAUCUGUAGCUGGUCUGAGAGGACGACCAGCCACACUGGGACUGAGACACGGCCCAGACUCCUACGGGAGGCAGCAGUGGGGAAUUUUGGACAAUGGGCGCAAGCCUGAUCCAGCCAUGCCGCGUGCAGGAUGAAGGCCUUCGGGUUGUAAACUGCUUUUGUACGGAACGAAACGGCUCUUUCUAAUAAAGAGGGCUAAUGACGGUACCGUAAGAAUAAGCACCUGCUAACUACGUGCCAGCAGCCGCGGUAAUACGUAGGGUGCAAGCGUUAAUCGGAAUUACUGGGCGUAAAGCGUGCGCAGGCGGUGAUGUAAGACAGUUGUGAAAUCCCCGGGCUCAACCUGGGAACUGCAUCUGUGACUGCAUCGCUGGAGUGCGGCAGAGGGGGAUGGAAUUCCGCGUAGCAGUGAAAUGCGUAGAUAUGCGGAGGAACACCGAUGGCGAAGGCAAUCCCCUGGGCCUGCACUGACGCUCAUGCACGAAAGCGUGGGGACAACAGGAUUAGAUACCCUAGUAGUCC